rnacentral:lncRNA from 1 species
GCUAAUCUCUUUAAGAGCAUUUUUCUUUUCUAGCACAUACCAUAUUUUACGACUCUAAAUAUCGUAAUUCUCACAAUUUAGUUUUUCUCCUUUGUUCAAGUCAACAACUAUGCUUUUCGAUGCCAUGUUUGUUAUUAAAAGACAAUCUUGCAAGUAUUUUAUCAAUUAUGCAUGCAAGUUAAAAACUCAAUCAAAUCAUUUCACAUAAAGGUUUCAUGUUUAGUGUAUAAUCGAAAGGACACUUAAGAAUUCAAUCAUCAUCUACGAACUAAACACUUGACCUAAAUUAAAAAUUAAUUUCUUAAUGUGUAUUUGGAUGACAACUUUCAAUUAAGUAAUUGUAAACUCAAAUAAAUAAAUGAUAUUCAUAUAGAAGGAGAGAAACAACUUAAUAUAUUUAUAAUAUAAAGUUAAUAAAGAACUUCAGGUUACAAGUCAAUCUAAAGAAAAAAGUCAUCCCACAAAUAUUCGAGACGAUUUAUAUAUAUCCAAAAAGGCUCGCUAGGCCAAAUCUCGCGGUAAACAUUAAUUAAUCACGCACCCCAAAGAUCAUAGAGAGAAUUUGCUAAAAUAGUUAAUGCUUUCCAAUCCGAGAUUACUGCAUUAUUUUCCAAUUCUACACAUUUCAAUUCAAACAAAUAUAUAAAACUAGCAACAGUAAUGUUUGGGGGCAUAUUAAAAGACUUGAAUUCUUUCAGUUUCUUCUCUAUUUCCCUUUGCAUAAUUUUGUAACUCAUUUUGUGUCGCCUUGGGGACACCAUUUUGUAUGAUCUCACGACCUCAAAAACAUAUCCUUCGAUGACAUGCUUUUCCAUUUUGUUUCUUUGCUCGACAUUCUGAACUCCCACUUGAAGUGAUUCGAGUUUGUUCCCGUUCAACCAUGUCUGAAAUAGGAACCAAGAAACAAUAAGAUUGAUUAUGCCAUUCAAUGCGACAACUUAUGUCAAAAUUAUUGUAGAAGACAAAAUCUGUUUAUGAAAAUUUAGGAAAUAAUUUAGAAAAGAAUUAUAUCAAGUCUAAUUCAUUCACAAUUGAACCACAAUUAAUUUAAAAAAAUUUACACUUCAUUUCUAAUAAAUUAAAUAAUAAAUAUAUCUUUUGAUGGAAAUUUAAUUCACUGAUAUUUCAUAAGAAAAAAAUACUUUACUUAUCAUAAAGAAACAAUAUAUAAUUUGACUACCCAUCAUUAAAUAUGUGGAUCAUUAGAAUACACAUUGUUCCAAAAAAAAAAAAAGAAAUGUUAAAAGAAAACUUUUAAAGGUUGUACAUCAUAUUCAUUCUAUUUUUCAAGAAAUAAUACUACUUUAUUAAUUCUUUAAAUAAAGUAGAUUCUUCAUUAAGGAAGAUUAUACUUCUCUUCCAAGGAAUUCAAUAUUUUCAUUACUUAUCUUCUUCUUUGAAGGACAUCCAUGGCAGAUUGAAAAAUUAAACCCCCCCCCCCCUUUUUUUUUUUAAAAAAAAUAAACAUAAUUCCAAAAUAGAACAUUAAAAAAAAGUCGGAUCCUUAAAUGCAAUUUUGGGCAUCUGAUAGGAUCCAAAAAUAACAGCCAUGGUGGCGCGUCUGAUUGAACCAAAGCACGAUGGUGGCUUUUCUAAUCGGAUCCAAAAAUUCAUACAUCCAGUUAUGAAGUUUUUCUCAUAGGUAUAUUCAUACACAAUUUUUUCAAGAGUUUUACAUACUAAAACUCGAGAUAUAACAUGUCAAGAAGGAUAAUAGAACCUGAUGCCAUUGAUAGUAAAUUAUGGAGCAAAAUCGGUGUUUACCUUGAAAUGUUGCAGCUGAAGAAGACGAUUUUGCCACCGAAAGAAUCUGCCCCAAGUCUACUUUGAAUCACUUGAAAUCAAAGUGUGAUUAUCACAAACUAAAUGCCCUUUUCUUAGUGUUGUUGUUAGAUGGAGAGUUAAAGUUUAUGUUGCCAAAAUAUUGAUACAAGUUUUCU